rnacentral:rRNA from 1 species
UACGUAGGUGGCAAGCGUUGUCCGGAUUUACUGGGCGUAAAGGGCGUGCAGGCGGUUUGUUUAGUCUAGGGUGAAAGCUCCCGGCUUAACUGGGAGAGGUCCUUGGAUACUGGCAAACUUGAGGGAGGCAGAGGAAAGUGGAAUUCCCGGUGUAGUGGUGAUAUGCGUAGAUAUCGGGAGGAACACCGGUGGCGAAGGCGGCAUCCUGGACCACGACUGACGCUGAGUGAGCGAAAGCCAGGGGAGCAAACGGGG